GAAGGAAAUAGGAACACACCAGGAUGAGC
rnacentral:piRNA from 1 species